rnacentral:rRNA from 1 species
AUUGAACGCUGGCGGCAGGCCUAACACAUGCAAGUCGAGCGAGCGGCGGACGGGUGAGUAAUGUAUGGGAAACUGCACGCUGGAGGGGGAUAACUACUGGAAACGGUCGCUAAUACCGCAUACUAUCGGAUGAACCCUUAUGGGAUUGGCUAGUAGGUGGGGUAAAGGCUCACCUAGGCGACUAUCUCUAGCUGGUAUGACAGGCGGAGCAGCCACACUGGAACUGCGACACGGGCCAGACUACUACGGGAGGCAGCAGUGGGGAAUAUUGCACAAUGGGCGAAAGCCUGAUGCAGCCAUGCCGCGUGUAUGAAGAAGGCCUUAGGGUUGUAAAGUACUUUCAGCGGGGAGGCGUUACCCGCAGAAGAAGCACCGGCUAACUCCGUGCCAGCAGCCGCGGUAAUAC